GGGGGCGACGAGGUUUCGACGGGGACUGGUCGGGCCCCGAGGAGCAGGCCGGGUGGCACCCGUAACAGCCGCCAGCAACAGCUCCCGAAGCUGAGCUCGCUUUGGCUGCCUAAUUAACGGCAGCCCGUCCUUAGGCGGCUUGCGCCCGGCCGCCUAAGGGCGUCAAACGAGGGCGCUGGGGCUCCGCCCCCCGCCCGCCGGGGGCGGAGCCGACGCCUGCGGCGGGACCCCCUGCGGGAGUUUGCCGGUGGACGCCCGCAGGGCGGAACCAAAACACCGGCUAAGCCUGUAGAGCCUCGGAGGCCCGGCGUCUCCGGACGCGGGUUCGAUUCCCGCCGCCUCCACUG
rnacentral:tmRNA from 1 species